GGUGCUGUGGCACACAGGGUUAAUGCCCCAGCCUGCAGUGCUGGCAUCCCAUAUGGGCACAGGUUCGAGUCCUGGCUGCUCCA
rnacentral:tRNA from 1 species